GGAUGGAACUUGCAAACUAAAUGCAAGUCUGUCACUGUCUUAACUCCCUUUCUGAGUAGUCUGCUGGCCCGAGGGAGGCCCCACACUCUCACUGACUGUCAUCUCAGCCCUUCCGGAGCACAGCUUUGUGUGCCAGGCUUGCAUUUCUCUUUGUGGGAGAGACAGACAACUCAGGAGUGCCUCUUGCCUCAGGAACCUCAGCAACUAGCAGAAUGAAGAGAGACUUCUCAGUGGAGUGCGGGGAAGGCAGAGCACGUGACCCUCGGCAGCACAUUCUCAUAUACAUCAUCACGCUCACACCAAGGUGUUAACGGUGAAUUAACUGGCCCCAUGAGAUAUUAUUUGAUCUUCAGAGAAAGGGCCCUGCUUACUUCAAAGGGAUGAACCUCAAGCAGCACUUCAGACCUUCAAGAAGGAAGGCCUUUGGGUCAGCAAGUCCUUCCCUGGGCCUCUUCAAUCCCCUCCACCUGGAAAGAGGCUUGUGCCUACCUGACUGCCAGGAUCUUCCUCCUGAUCUCCCUUGACAUCUGGAGCAGGGGCUGGUGUGACCGUGACCACAGGAAGCGUGGCUGACUCCUCCUCUUUGAAGAAAAGACAUGGAAAAGGUCAGAAGAGUGUGCCAGUUUCUGAGGACAGCUGGCAGAAACCAGUGUGAGGGGGCUACAGGACAACUGGACACGUCCACCUCAGAGUCUCAGCUGGUACACAGGAGGUGCUCACUGAAGUUGAGCUGAAUGAGUAGCUACUCCUAAGUGGCUUCCAGGGCUAUCUUCAGGUGGCAGGAUCGCUGCCCCCAGGAAUUGUCCUCAUCUCCCCACUGCAGGCCUCCAUGGCCAGAAUUAGGACUGGACUUGCACCGUAUGCUCUCGUCUGUGCUUCAGCUCAGAAAAUAAAGAAAACACUGCCUGGAACAGAAAGGAAUCAGGACCAAUUUUAUCUCCAGAUAGAAAGCAGAAUAUGGUACAAGAAAUGAGAAAGUCAAUCACUUCUCGGCCUUUUGGCUAAGAUAAAGUGAAGAAAUGAGAAGCUCAGAUAAAGGUGCGGUGGUGGAAGGAACAAAGAGGCUUCAAAAAAUUUAUUCAAGCCAAAAUACUUCCCUAGGAGCUCGUCAUCCUCUGCACACACCCGAAUUCUUCUCCUCUCAGCAUGUACUUCUAACCUUCUGACGCGUUUCACACCCACUUUCUCAUCCAGUGCCACCAACUCCGUGACAUGGACAAGCAUAUCUCAGUUGGACCAUCCCUGUUUCAAGAGCUCGGUAGCUACAUGUAGCAAGUGGUCACCAUACUGGAGAGUGCAGCAGAAAGUCCCGACCUCUGGACUUCUGUCAGCCACCCCCUGCUUGUCCUUCAAGAUUCUGCCAGACAUCACCUCCCGGAGGAAGCCUCCCCUGACUCUCUGGUCAGUUGAAUGUCUACUCCCUGCAGUACUAAGCCCCUCGGCGCUUUCCCAUACCAUUAUAGUAACUAUCAACUUUAUCGGUCUUCCCCACUGAGGCAGAUUCACCAUGGAGCUGAUGAAACCUGAGUUCCGGGGCCUGUGUCUCCAACACAAACCCUUUCCAAGGCUUUGUAUUUGAUUUUGUACCAAUGGUUUUGUAUUCUUUUUCUUAAAGAGUAUCAGGCCCCACCUGAAUCAACUCCACUCUGCUAGGCUGCGCUCAUCAAGGACGGUGCCUUUAUUCUCAUUGUAACUCCAGACCCUACACAGGCUUCAUACAAAGAGAUUCAAUGAAUGUUUGCAGAACGAAAGAUCACUGGAGUUCUUUAGGGCACAGUCCAGUGCCAGCCCCCCACCCCCACCCCAGGAGCAACAGCCAGCUCUCAGUUUUCAUUACCACACAUUUGUCAGUGGCUCACAAAUUUCUGUUUCUAGCUCAGUCUUUGAUCGUGAGCUUCAGGCCCAUUUGGGCAACUGUCUCCCAAGCAUCCUAAACCCAGAGGCGACCUGGGUGCCCGAACUCGCCAUUUCUGAGUGGAAACUCUUAAGUCUCCCUAAACCUCUUCUUCCCCGAGUCUGCCCUUUCCUGUACCACCAUCUGCCCUGCUGCUCAGCCAAAAACCUGGCUGCGUCCUUGCAUCCUUGGCUUCUUCUGCUGCCUCACUCUCACACCAACUACCUCCACUUCAUCACCAGUCCAGACAAUUCUGUCUGCAAAAUGACCCUCAAAGAUAGACAUGCUGGACCCCCGCUUUUGCCCUCACAUAUCUUCAGUUCAUUCUUGGCACAGCACUUAGGAGUGACUUUUUAAAUAUGGCUCCUAGUCACUCUUCAUUCCCUCCUGAGCUUCAAUUAAAAUCCAAGCCCCAUGUCUGACCCACGGGGCCUUGUGGAAAGCAGCUCCCCCCUCCUCUCCACCAUUAUCUUGCCCCACUCUCCCCUGACUCCCUGGCCACACUGGCCUCCAAUUCUUUAUUCCCAUGCAUCAAGCUCUUUCUGACCCUUUGCAAACGCUGUUUCAUCUUCCAGAAUUCUUCCCCCUGGAGCAUGGGGGGCUGGGUGGGGAGUUCCCUUCUCAUUCUGCAGUUCUCUCCCUCCAAGAGACUUCUG